CCUACGGGUGGCAGCAGUGGGGAAUAUUGCACAAUGGGGGAAACCCUGAUGCAGCGACGCCGCGUGAGUGAAGAAGUAUUUCGGUAUGUAAAGCUCUAUCAGCAGGGAAGAAAAUGACGGUACCUGACUAAGAAGCCCCGGCUAACUACGUGCCAGCAGCCGCGGUAAUACGUAGGGGGCAAGCGUUAUCCGGAUUUACUGGGUGUAAAGGGAGCGUAGACGGCAAAGCAAGUCUGGAGUGAAAGGCGGGGGCCCAACCCCGGGACUGCUUUGGAAACUGUUUAGCUGGAGUGCAGGAGAGGUAAGUGGAAUUCCUAGUGUAGCGGUGAAAUGCGUAGAUAUUAGGAGGAACACCAGUGGCGAAGGCGGCUUACUGGACUGUAACUGACGUUGAGGCUCGAAAGCGUGGGGAGCAAACAGGAUUAGAUACCCGGGUAGUCC
rnacentral:rRNA from 1 species